rnacentral:rRNA from 1 species
UACAUGGGGGUGCAAACGUUGCUCGGAAUUAUUGGGCGUAAAGCGCACGUAGGCGGUUCGUUAAGUCGGAUGUGAAAGCCCUCGGCUCAACUGAGGAAGUGCACCCGAAACUGGCGAGCUUGAGUACGAAAGAGGAUCGCGGAAUUCCCGGUGUAGAGGUGAAAUUCGUAGAUAUCGGGAGGAACACCGGUGGCGAAGGCGGCGAUCUGGGUCGAUACUGACGCUGAGGUGCGAAAGCGUGGGGAGCGAACAGG